rnacentral:tRNA from 4 species
GCGGGCGUGGUGGAAUUGGUAGACACGCUGGAUUUAGGUUCCAGUGGCGAAAGCCGUGGGGGUUCAAGUCCCUUCGCCCGCACCA